GCCGAGGUGGUGUAAUGGCAGCCACGCAGGAUUUAGGAUCCUGUGCCGCAAGGCGUGCGGGUUCAAGUCCCGCCCUCGGCA
rnacentral:tRNA from 1 species